GACGAACGCUGGCGGCGUGCUUAACACAUGCAAGUCGAACGGAAAGGCCCUGCUUUUGUGGGGUGCUCGAGUGGCGAACGGGUGAGUAACACGUGAGUAACCUGCCCUUGACUUUGGGAUAACUUCAGGAAACUGGGGCUAAUACCGGAUAGGAGCUCCUGCUGCAUGGUGGGGGUUGGAAAGUUUCGGCGGUUGGGGAUGGACUCGCGGCUUAUCAGCUUGUUGGUGGGGUAGUGGCUUACCAAGGCUUUGACGGGUAGCCGGCCUGGGAGGGUGACCGGCCACAUUGGGACUGAGAUGCGGCCCAGGCGCCUACGGGGGGCAGGAGUGGGGAAUAGUGCACAAUGGGCGGAAGCCUGAAGCAGCAACGCCGCGUGCGGAAUGACGGCCUUCGGGUUGUAAACCGCUUUCGCCUGUGACGAAGCGUGAGGGACGGUAAUUGGUAAAGAAGCACCGGCUAACUACGG
rnacentral:rRNA from 1 species